rfam:Schistosoma haematobium scaffold1133_3, whole genome shotgun sequence.
ACCUUGCUGACGAGUGCCAAGUAGGACGAAACUCGAGUCAAGGGU